rnacentral:rRNA from 1 species
AGCAGCCGCGGUAAUUCCAGCUCCAAUAGCGUAUAUUAAAGUUGUUGCAGUUAAAGAGCUCGUAGUUGAAUUUCGGGGUCAGUAGGUCGGUCGUGCCACUGGUAUGAACUGGUUUUACUGAUUCCUCCCUCUUGAAGAACUGUAAUGCCAUUAAUUUGGUGUUGCAGGGAAUCAGGACUGUUACUUUGAAAAAAUUAGAGUGUUUAAAGCAGGCUUUAGCUUGAAUACGUUAGCAUGGAAUAAUGAAAUAGGACGUUUGAUCCUAUUUUGUUGGUUUCUAGGAUUGACGUAAUGAUUAAUAGGGAUAGUUGGGGGCAUUAGUAUUCAAUUGUCAGAGGUGAAAUUCUUGGAUUUAUUGAAGACUAACUACUGCGAAAGCAUUUGCCAAGGAUGUUUUCAUUAAUCAAGAACGAAAGUUAGGGGAUCGAAGACGAUCAGAUACCGUCGUAGUCUUAACCAUAAACUAUGCCGACUAGGGAUCGGAUGAUGUUAAUUUUUAAUGUACUCAUUCGGCGCCUUA